rnacentral:sRNA from 1 species
AGAAUCAAAAAAGAGUAAAUUUCAUUUUACUGAAUGUCAUUUGAAAGAUUAAUGACAUAAAUAAAGAAAUUCUCAUGAACUCUUUUCUCUUUUCCGUGUGUGUGUGUGUGUGUGUGUGUGUGUGUGUGAGUUGCUGGGGAUGGAACCCAGGGUAGAUUCUA